rnacentral:rRNA from 1 species
UACGUAGGGGGCAAGCGUUGUCCGGAUUUAUUGGGCGUAAAGAGCGUGUAGGCGGUUUGGUAGGUCCGCUGUGAAAACUCGAGGCUCAACCUCGAGAUGUCGGCGGAAACCACUUGGCUAGAGUCCGGAAGAGGAGAGUGGAAUUCCCGGUGUAGCGGUGAAAUGCGCAGAUAUCGGGAAGAACACCUAUGGCGAAGGCAGCUCUCUGGGACGGUACUGACGCUGAGACGCGAAAGCGUGGGGAGCGAACAGG